GACGAACGCUGGCGGCGUACUUAACACAUGCAAGUCGAACGAAGUGGCGAACGGGUGAGUAACGCGUAAUCAACCUGCCCUUCAGAGGGGGACAACAGUUGGAAACGACUGCUAAUACCGCAUACUGAAGGAGGGGAUUGAGUCUGAUGAGCUAGUUGGAGGGGUAACGGGCCAACAAGGCGAUGAUCAGUAGCCGGGAUGGUAGGAUGAACGGCCACAUUGGGACUGAGACACGGCCCAGAAUCCUACGGGAGGGAGCAGUGGGGAAUCUUCCGCAAUGGACGAAAGUCUGACGGAGCAACGCCGCGUGAGUGAUGACGGCCUUCGGGUUGUAAAGCUCUGUUAAUCGGGACGCGGUACCGGAAUAGAAAGCCACGGCUAACUACGUGCCAGCAGCCGCGGUAAUAC
rnacentral:rRNA from 1 species